ACAGCUCCUGCCCCUCUGAAGGAGUAAUUCUUUUUUGGAGGUGCAUCUGUGGGUCUUCAGAGAACUGUGACUUUAAGAUGUAGUCUAUUUUCCUCAGGAGCUUUCCAGUCCAAAUGUCACACAGAUAUGACAAAGAAUUCUGCAAUAUGUACUCCUCCCGCUCAUGGGUCCUGGGACAUACAUGCAUGAAUUUCUCUAGGGUACGUACCAAGCAGUGGUACACAUCGAAGGGUUUGUAUGUGAUUUAAACUCCUGAGAGCACUGAAGAAAAGUUUGUUCCACAUCCUCACCGUCACUUGGAUGUUCAUUAAAAUUUCAGUGUGGUUUUUGCUUUU